rnacentral:rRNA from 1 species
GGUAGAACGCUGGCGGCGUGCCUAACACAUGCAAGUCGAGCGGUGCAGUUUGAAGCUUCGGUGGAAAGCUGCAUAGCGGCGGACGGGUGAGGAAAACGUAGGAACGUGCCCCUUGGAGUUGGAUAGCCACGGGAAACUGUAGGGUAAACCGACAUAGACUCGAGAGAGUAAAGGCCGAAAGGCGCCAAGGGAGCGGCCUGCGGCCCAUCAGGUAGUUGGUAGUGUAAAGGACUACCAAGCCGACGACGGGUAGCCGGUCUGAGAGGAUGGCCGGCCACAAGGGCACUGAGAGACGGGCCCUACUCCUACGGGAGGCAGCAGUGGGGGAUUUUGGACAAUGGGCGAAAGCCUGACCCAGCGACGCCGCGUGGAGGACGAAGCCCUUCGGGGUGUAAACUCCUUUUCUCAGGGAAAAAGGAUGAUGGUACCUGAGGAAUAAGCCCCGGCUAACUACGUG